rnacentral:rRNA from 1 species
ACGGGUGAGUAACACGUAUGCAAUCCACCUGUAACAGGGGGAUAACCCGGAGAAAUCCGGACUAAUACCCAUAAUAUGGGCGCUCCGCAUGGAGAGUUCAUUAAAGAGAGCAAUUUUGGUUACAGACGAGCAUGCGCUCCAUUAGCCAGUUGGCGGGGUAACGGCCCACCAAGGCGACGAUGGAUAGGGGUUCUGAGAGGAAGGUCCCCCACAUUGGAACUGAGACACGGUCCAA